rnacentral:rRNA from 1 species
AACGAACGCUGGCGGCAUGCCUAACACAUGCAAGUCGAACGAGACCUUCGGGUCUAGUGGCGCACGGGUGCGUAACGCGUGGGAACCUGCCCUUAGGUUCGGAAUAACUCCCCGAAAGGGGUGCUAAUACCGGAUAAUGUCUUCGGACCAAAGAUUUAUCGCCUUUGGAUGGGCCCGCGUUGGAUUAGCUAGUUGGUAGGGUAAAAGCCUACCAAGGCGAAGAUCCAUAGCUGGUCUGAGAGGAUGAUCAGCCACACUGGGACUGAGACACGGCCCAGACUCCUACGGGAGGCAGAAGUGGGGAAUAUUGGACAAUGGGCGAAAGACUGAUCCAGCAAUGCCGCGUGAGUGAUGAAGGCCUUAGGGUUGUAAAGCUCUUUUAAACGGGAUGAUAAUGACAGUACCGGGAGAAUAAGCUCCGGCUAACUCCGUG